AUGUUGAUCAACUAUGAGCUGCCAAUGAAGAAGCUUGUCAUGCAGCUCUGGGAUACUCUUAUAGCUCUAUCAAUUAAUAUUGGCAUGGUUUACCGUAGCCCCAAUCCUGCAUUUUCUGGAGAUUACAAUGAUAAAAGUUUCACAUGUGUUACUCAACAUGAAAAUAAGUGAGAUUUGUUGAUGAUACUGUGAAUGCAAUUAUCAUUUAUAGCUAAUCAGGAGACCUAUAUGAGGCGAAUGACGGCUUGUUUGUCAGCAGGUUUGUUUUAAAUAAAGGAGUCUGAAUUUGGCUUGCAAGAAUGCUGGGGCUGAUGGGUGUUAUGGAAUAGUGAUUAGCAUGGUUGUUGGAGGAGAAGUAGUGAUUCUGAAAAACCUUGAAGAGAGUAGUGGUCUUGUCAUAGCUGAAAUGCCUAUAAAUAUCUUUGAGAUGAUUUGAACUGUCAACCUGCUUGAAGUCUCUGAAGAAAUGUAUGGUUUGACACACAUGCCUUCUCAAAAGCACAGAUGAAAGUCUCUAAAUAAUUGAAGGUUUUGAUGUCAGAAGAAAUCCCAAGCACACCACCAAGAUGCCUUCUCACAGUGGUUUUUUUAACCCUAAUUUCUUCUGUGCAAAUAUGUACUUAAAUUCAAUUGAAUGACUCCCAAGUUUGUCAGUUAGAAAAGGAACAUCAUCAAAUUGCCUUGCUUUGUUGAUCAUCUUUUAGAAUAAAUAUCAUGUUGCUGACACUUCUUUCUGAGCUGCACAGAAAGAUGCGGCAAGAAUAAAUGAGAUGUCCAAUCUUUGGAGAUCAUGUCCAAAUUAGUAAAGUUGGUGUCUUGUUAAUUUGAUGGAUAAGCUACACUAGUAUCAAUUGGGGUAUAAAAAUUGACAGCAUGAUCACGAAACUUUAUGCCGAUGCUGGACCUGUUUCGAGCAACAAGACCCCAGAAGUGGGGAUGUGAUAAAGCAAGAUCAUGUCUGUCUUAAGGGAAGAAGGAGGACAUGAUGGUCCCUGUUUACUUGUGAUGAAAAUGGUAAUGAUUUUUGUAUUCUUCAUUUCAAGCAAUGAUACAUCCCUUUUUGUGGCCUACCCUCUUCUGCUCUCUCUGCUGUAUUGAAAGGAAUGCAUUAUAAAAGCAGUAGCUACUGAUAUUUCUUUGUUCUUCA